UACGGAGGGUGCGAGCGUUGUCCGGAAUCACUGGGCGUAAAGGGCGCGUAGGUGGCAUGGGAAGUCUUCGGUGAAAGCUCAGGGCUCAACCCUGAGUCGGCCGGGGAUACUCCCGAGCUCGAGUGUGGUAGAGGCCAAUGGAAUUCCGGGUGUAGCGGUGGAAUGCGUAGAGAUCCGGAAGAACACCGGUGGCGAAGGCGGUUGGCUGGGCCACAACUGACACUGAUGCGCGACAGCGUGGGGAGCAAACAGG
rnacentral:rRNA from 1 species